rnacentral:rRNA from 1 species
AGUGAACGCUGGCGGCGUGCCUAAUACAUGCAAGUCGAACGGACGAGUAAGAGCUUGCUCUUAUGAGUUAGUGGCGCACGGGUGAGUAAUGUAUAGCUAAUCUGCCCUACACUAGAGGACAACAGUUGGAAACGACUGCUAAUACUCUAUACUCCUCUCUAGCAUAAGUUAGAUAGGGAAAGUUCUUCGGUGUAGGAUGAGGCUAUAUUGUAUCAGCUAGUUGGUGAGGUAAUGGCUCACCAAGGCUAUGACGCAUAACUGGUCUGAGAGGAUGAUCAGUCACACUGGAACUGAGACACGGUCCAGACUCCUACGGGAGGCAGCAGUAGGGAAUAUUGCUCAAUGGGGGAAACCCUGAAGCAGCAACGCCGCGUGGAGGAUGACACUUUUCGGAGCGUAAACUCCUUUUGUUAGGGAAGAACAAUGACGGUACCUAACGAAUAAGCACCGGCUAACUCCGUGCCAGCAGCCGCGGUAAUACGGAGGGUGCAAGCGUUACUCGGAAUCACUGGGCGUAAAGGACGCGUAGGCGGAUUAUCAAGUCUCUUGUGAAAUCCUAUGGCUUAACCAUAGAACUGCUUGGGAAACUGAUAAUCUAGAGUGAGGGAGAGGCAGAUGGAAUUGGUGGUGUAGGGGUAAAAUCCGUAGAGAUCACCAGGAAUACCCAUUGCGAAGGCGAUCUGCUGGAACUCAACUGACGCUAAUGCGUGAAAGCGUGGGGAGCAAACAGG